UGGGUAGUAGCUAAAUUAAAGCGCUUCAUUUACGCUGGAGAGAUCACGUUUAAAGUGCUACCUAA
rnacentral:tRNA from 1 species